AAGGGUUCAUUGUUUACAUGGCAGAGUAUCGUCGCAGGUAUCCAAACUUUCAAAUGAGGGUGCAUUUGGCGUGUUGGUUUGGGAUCACAUAUUAACAUUUGGGAUGAUCCCUGGAUUCCUGCUAGCGAGUCAAGGAAAAUUAUUACCCCACGAGGAACAAUGUUGUCCAAAGUGGAGGAAUUAAUCGAUCUGCAUACGGGUGAGUGGGAUGGUGAACUCCUACGUGACAUAUUUCUACCCGUUGAUGUGUACAGAAUACAACAAAUCCCCUUACACAUUGAAGCAGUAGAAGAUUUUGUAUCAUGGCAAUUUACUAGGUCAGGUACUUUCUCGGUACGCUCGGCCUACCAUGUGGAGUUCAAUCACCAGUUCGGAAACCACUUUGCUCAUUCAGACUGUCCCGGAAGGUCCCAAAUCAACCCAACUUGGAAGGACUUAUGGCAAUUGGGAAUCCCGGGGAAGAUAAAGCACAUCGGAUGGAAGGUGCUUAAGGGCGUUUUACCUUGCUUUGGAGUUCUUGCGGGUAGACACAUACCCCUGGUUCCACAAUGCCCGCUGUGCAAAGUUGGCCUGGAGGACAUACAACAUUGUAUGUUCACAUGCACGAGGGCUAACAAGGUAUGGUCUGCGCUCAAUCUUGGAGAAACUAUCAGGCAUACGGUA
rnacentral:rRNA from 1 species